AGUGAGCGCUGGCGGUAGGCCUAACACAUGCAAGUCGAACGGCAGCACAGUAAGAGCUUGCUCUUACGGGUGGCGAGUGGCGGACGGGUGAGGAAUACAUCGGAAUCUACUUUUUCGUGGGGGAUAACGUAGGGAAACUUACGCUAAUGCCGCAUACGACCUACGGGUGAAAGCAGGGGAUCUUCGGACCUUGCGCGAUUGAAUGAGCCGAUGUCGGAUUAGCUAGUUGGCGGGGUAAAGGCCCACCAAGGCGACGAUCCGUAGCUGGUCUGAGAGGAUGAUCAGCCACACUGGAACUGAGACACGGUCCAGACUCCUACGGGAGGCAGCAGUGGGGAAUAUUGGACAAUGGGCGCAAGCCUGAUCCAGCCAUACCGCGUGGGUGAAGAAGGCCUUCGGGUUGUAAAGCCCUUUUGUUGGGAAAGAAAAGCAGCAGGUUAAUACCCCGCUGUUCUGACGGUACCCAAAGAAUAAGCACCGGCUAACUUCGUG
rnacentral:rRNA from 1 species